rnacentral:miRNA from 1 species
CCCUGACAUGGUAGCUUGCCUGUCUUCCCAUCACUUGGGAGGCUGAGGCAGGAGGAU